rnacentral:rRNA from 1 species
AGUGAACGCUGGCGGCGUGCGUAAUACAUGCAAGUCGAAAGGAGUGGCGCACGGGUGAGUAAUGUAUAGCUAAUUUGCACUACACUAGAGGACAACAGUUGGAAACGACUGCUAAUACUUUAUAGUGUAGGAUGAGGCGAUAUUGUAUCAGCUAGUUGGUGAGGUAAUGGCUCACCAAGGCUAUGACGCAUAACUGGUCUGAGAGGAUGAUUAGUAACACCGGAACUGAGACACGGUCCAGACUCCUACGGGAUGCAGCAGUAGGGAAUAUUGCCCAAUGGGUAAAACCCUGAAGCAGCAACGCCGCGUGGAGGAUGACACUUUUCGGAGCGUAAACAACUUUGGUUAUGGAAGCGGUACCUAACGAAUAAGCACAGGCUAACUACGUGCCAGCAGCCGAGGUAAUUC